rnacentral:rRNA from 1 species
AGAGUUUGAUCCUGGCUCAGGACGAACGCUGGCGGCGUGCUUACACAUGCAAGUCGAGCGAUGAAGCUCCUUCGGGAGUGGAUUAGCGGCGGACGGGUGAGUAACACGUGGGUAACCUGCCUCAGUAGAGGGGAAUAGCCUUUCGAAAGGAAGAUAAUACCGCAUAAGAUUGUAGUACCCGCAUGGUAUAGCAAUUAAAGGAGUAAUCCGCUAUGAGAUGGACCCGCGUCGCAUUAGCUAGUUGGUGAGGUAACUGCUCACCAAGGCGACGAUGCGUAGCCGACCUGAGAGGGUGAUCGGUCACAUUGGGACUGAGACACGGCCCAGACUCCUACGGGAGGCAGCAGCGGGGAAUAUUGCACAAUGGGGGAGACCCUGAUGCAGCAACGCCGCGUGAGUGAUGACGGUCUUCGGAUUGUAAAGCUCUGUCUUUAGGGACGAUAAUGACGGUACCUAAGGAGGAAGCCACGGCUAACUACGUGCCAUCAGCCGCGGUAAUACGUAGGUGGCAAGCGUUGUCCGGAUU